UACAGAGGGUGCGAGCGUUGUUCGGAAUUAUUGGGCGUAAAGGGCGCGUAGGCGGUGCGGUAAGUCACCUGUGAAAUCUCCCGGCUCAACCGGGAGCUUGCAGGCGAAACUGCCGUGCUGGAGUGUGGGAGAGGUGCGUGGAAUUCCUGGUGUAGCGGUGAAAUGCGUAGAUAUCAGGAGGAACACCUGUGGCGAAAGCGGCGCACUGGACCACAACUGACGCUGAGGCGCGAAAGCUAGGGGGAGCAAACAGG
rnacentral:rRNA from 1 species